rnacentral:tRNA from 1 species
AUAUUGGUGGUUCAGUGGUAGAAUUCUCGCUUUCCACGCUGGGAUCCCAGGUUCAAUUCCUGGCCAAUGCA